rnacentral:rRNA from 1 species
GUGGAUUAGAUACCCUAGUAGUCCACGCCGUAAACGAUGGAUGCCAGCCGUUGGCAAGCUUGCUUGUCAGUGGCGCAGCUAACGCAUUAAGCAUCCCGCCUGGGGAGUACGGCCGCAAGGUUGAAACUCAAAGGAAUUGACGGGGGCCCGCACAAGCGGUGGAGCAUGUGGUUUAAUUCGACGCAACGCGCAGAACCUUACCAGGGUUUGACAUCCUGUGCUCACCUCAGAAAUGGGGUUUCCCCGCAAGGGGCGCAGAGACAGGUGCUGCACGGUUGUCGUCAGCU